UACAGAGGGUGCAAGCGUUGUUCGGAAUUACUGGGCGUAAAGCGUGCGUAGGCGGCCUGUCGCGUCGGAUGUGAAAGCCCGGGGCUUAACCCCGGGUCUGCAUUCGAUACGGGCAGGCUAGAGUUCGGUAGGGGAGAUCGGAAUUCCUGGUGUAGCGGUGAAAUGCGCAGAUAUCAGGAGGAACACCGGUGGCGAAGGCGGAUCUCUGGGCCGUAACUGACGCUGAGGAGCGAAAGCAUGGGGAGCGAACAGG
rnacentral:rRNA from 1 species